CUCAUGGUUCCUAGUCGGAUUCGUUAACCACUGCGCAAAGACGGCAACUCCCUGAUCAUUUCUAUCACUCAGCAUCCAUCAGCUUUCUCUGGCUGUGCCACAAAGCUCUCUAAGAUCAUCUUUUGAAAGAUGGCAUACAUCCGAAAUUCGAAACAUUGUGCCUGCUGGACCUUCUGUGUUGCAAAAGAAACCUCCACUCAACAUGGAACGGAGUUGCAGAAGGGGGCUGACCUACAAAACUGAAUACUUUCCAAAUGAAAAUGACUCUUCCUAUAAUUUCUGCCACAGCAACAAGGAGUGCCCCCCCUUUCCCCAGCAUGGUAGCUGCUGUAAUGAUGACUGUAACCAGUGAUGGGGCCUCUCUCUCACCAAGAGUUCGGGCGUUUGUAAGGCUUCUCAACAUUUAAUAACAGAAAUGACAGGGAAAGAUUCCCAUAGAACAAAGACUCUUGCACGAGAAGUUUGAAGUCAGAGGAUCUGUAAACGGUCAACUAGCUCUUCCAGUUCGGCGGGAAGAGUGUGGAUUUUCUGUCUUUAAAAUUUGGAAGUGUUCCAAAAUGAGGUGGUGAGGACGACUUCUGGUUAUUGCGACAGACACAGAUGAAGAAGAAGAGUAAGGCAAUGGCCAGGGGGAUGGCAACACUGGGCACCAGUAUGUACAGGAUUUCCAUUUUAUUCUUCUCUUUGGAAUCCUUUGAAUCUGGGUGCAGAAAUGGAAAAGAGCAAAUGUUAUCCUGGUUUAAAUGCCAGGGAUAAUACUACAUUGCAGAGAUUAAAAAUGACCUCCUAUUCUUCUAUACACACACAUUGACUACGAGAAAAAAAGAACCAUCGCUUAUUACAGUUUCUUUCCAUCAAAUCUUCAAUGUAAUGUAUUAAAGUGGAAAAGGUGAAAGUGCAAACAUUUUAAGAUGGCAAAGGGACAUUAUGAAGAUUUCACAUGUGUGCGGGUCCCCUCUGAUGUUGCCUUUCUUGAGCAGCAGACCUGCAUUUCUCUAACACCUGAAAAGUUAAACGCCACGUGGAUGGACUGUAUACAUCCAAGAGCCUUAACAUGGACCACGGGGAUCUUCUUCCAUUGGCCGCCAGCCCAAAUCGACCACCACCACAUGGUUUCCAGAAAUCAUGCCCAUGUCUUGACUGGUUGGACAUUUAGGGCUGGUCCUGCAUCUUCCAGAAUCGACAUCACCCAAGAAUCCUGGUUCCAGGGUCCACCAAGCCCCUGGCCUAAGAAUAUGGGGAGCCAAAGUCAGGGCAAGCUCAGUCUCUAAUGAGCUGUGUGACCUUGAACAAAUCAUUCACCUCUCUGAGUUUCGCUUUUUCUCAUCUGUGAAAGGGAAAUAUCCGUUUUGGAUGGUGUCUACAAUUCCCUGUAGCUCAGCAUCACUGCAGAACUUGAUACCUUUUGAAACUCAAGAAUUCUUCUUAAGUGGUUUCAUAUGAACACAAUAAUUAUGAGUGCUAACACUUUGAAGUAUAUUUUUGAAAUCUUAUACAUGUCCACUAUUACCAUAGCUUGGAAAAGAAUUAUAACAUGUACAGAAGGACGCAAGGACGCAUAUUUUUCUUUUUUUGGUUUGAGUUUGACCAUCAAACUAAAUAUCCUGGGCAGAUAUGAUAAUUAAUGAAUUAUGUGACUAGUAAAACAAAUGCAAGCAUUAGGGAACAGUAAUUACAGAGGUUACACACCCUGAUCACUGAAAACCUCAUCCACUCUCUCGCUUUAAGAAAAGCCAACGUGUGAAAAUUCAGAUUGACACAAAAUCCACAGAUGAUUAUUUAUUUAAAAGAGUGAACCAUGCAUCCAUUCCCUUAUCAUUCCAUUCAUUCCCUAAGUCAAUAAACCAAAGCUACUAUGGCCAUGCACUCUACUAGGUACUGGGAAUCUAAAAGGAAAUAUGACAUAUCCUGCCCUUAAAGAGCUUAAAAGAUCUUUCCAAUAUGUUAUAGGAAAUGCUACAAAGAAAGAAUAGAGUCGUGAAGAGACACCAAAAGUCCCUUUAAGCAGUGAGCUUUCUCCGUACACAUAAAUGAGAAUGUAGUCUAUAGAAUUAUUACUUACAUACACCUUCCUUGGGAACCUGUUGUUCAGUGAGAAAUGGCAGCAAUUAACCACACUGCCUUCUCCCCAUAAAAGCAGACUCAAUGCAAGAAGUUAGGAAGGGGCACCAAAACCUGGGUGUUGGGGAGUUCCCAC